UACAGAGGGUGCGAGCGUUGUUCGGAAUUAUUGGGCGUAAAGGGCGCGUAGGCGGUGCGGUAAGUCACCUGUGAAAUCUCCUGGCUCAACUGGGAGCUUGCAGGCGAAACUGCCGUGCUGGAGUGUGGGAGAGGUGAGUGGAAUUCCCGGUGUAGCGGUGAAAUGCGUAGAUAUCGUAAGGAAGACCAGUGGCGAAGGCGGGUCUCUGGACAGUUCCUGACACUGAGACACGAAGGCCAGGGGAGCAAACGGG
rnacentral:rRNA from 1 species